GUGUGGUAUUAAAUUGCUCCUCCAGCACCUCCUCUCCUCAUCCUCCAAAGCCUCUGAUCUGUCAGCAGUAAGCUGACUUUCCAAGUUACAAGGCCAUUCUCAGCACACACUGACAACAUGCUGGGGACCCUCUGCACUCUCAUCACUGCUCUAACAUGUGUGAGUGGUGUGACGGUGGUGACACAGAAGCCUCCUGUUGUGACGCUGAGGAAAGGAGAGACAGCCACCAUGGACUGUAACUCUGCUAUAGAUGGACCUCGCUGGUAUAAACAGAUUCCAGGAGGAGUUCCGCAGUUUGUACUGAAUUAUUAUCACAGCUUUAGCGCUCCUCAAUAUGGCUCUGGUUUCUCCUCUCCAAAGUUCACAUGUACUCAUCAGUCAACAACAGAUUAUCGUUUGAUCAUCAACAAUGUGGAGGAGGGAGACUCAGCAGUCUAUUACUGUGCUACAUGGGAUGAUUCUGCUAAAGAGCAUGUAUUCGGACAAGGCACCAAGCUGACUGUGACAAGUAAGUACUUUUUAACUCAUCAUAAAACAGCACAGAUUUUAUGUUUCUCAUUCAGAUUAAGAGAAAAUGGUCGAUUCAUAGCUUUUCUUAAUAUUCAACACAUUGUUUGGUGA